AGUGAACGCUGGCGGUAGGCCUAACACAUGCAAGUCGAACGGCAGCACAGUAAGAGCUUGCUCUUACGGGUGGCGAGUGGCGGACGGGUGAGGAAUACAUCGGAAUCUACUUUUUCGUGGGGGAUAACGUAGGGAAACUUACGCUAAUACCGCAUACGACCUACGGGUGAAAGCAGGGGAUCUUCGGACCUUGCGCGAUUGGAUGAGCCGAUGUCGGAUUAGCUAGUUGGCGGGGUAAAGGCCCACCAAGGCGACGAUCCGUAGCUGGUCUGAGAGGAUGAUCAGCGACACUGGAACGGAGACACGGUCCAGACUACUACGGGAGGCAGCAGUGGGGAAUAUUGGACAAUGGGCGCAAGCAUGAUCCAGCCAUACCGAGUGGGUGAAGAAGGCGUUCGGGUUGUAAAGCCCUUUUGUUGGGAAAGAAAAGCAGCAGGUUAAUACCCCGCUGUUCUGACGGUACCCAAAGAAUAAGCACCGGCUAACUUCGUG
rnacentral:rRNA from 1 species